CUGCAAUGAUGACCAUUUAGGACACCUUUGUAUUAACCAUGAAAAUAACACAACAAAGCUGAGCAGU